GAGACAGAGUCUCACUCUGUUGGCCAGGCUGGAGUGUAGUGGCAUGAUCUCGGCUCACUGCAACCUCCACCUCCUGGGCUCAAGUGAUUCUUCUGCCUCAGCCUCCCAAGUAGCUGGGACUACAGGGGUGAGCCACUGCGCCCAGCCCUAAACUGACUCUUGACCAAAGAAUCUGAUUUGGCAAACCAAAUCUUAGUGCAGUGUUCGCUCCUUCUCCCCUUACCCAGAACAUGAUUCAGAUCCUAACAUAAACACAAAAACAGGUCAGGGACCAAAACGCCGUGGUCUUGUCUAUUAUGCAAAAUAUUGAGAUAAUGUUCAUGAUUCAUUCUGUUUUCAGCAAUUGUGUCCAUUUUGAAGCUUCUCUCGAAGCUUCGAAACACUGCAUUUUUUCAUACUAAAUAUCAAAAUGUGUCACACAGGCAUCACCAGUG
rnacentral:antisense_RNA from 1 species